GACGGAGGAGGCAAGCGUUAUCCGGGAUUAUUGGGCGUAAAGCGUCCGCAGGUGGCGAUUCAAGUCUGCUGUCAAAGGUCGGGGCUUAACCCCGGGAAGGCAGUGGAAACUGAAUAGCUAGAGUGCGGUAGGGGCAGAGGGAAUUCCCGGUGUAGCGGUGAAAUGCGUAGAGAUCGGGAAGAACACCAGUGGCGAAAGCGCUCUGCUGGGCCUGCACUGACACUGAGGGACGACAGCUAGGGGAGCUAAAGGG
rnacentral:rRNA from 1 species